ACGGCUUUUCAUGACGAAGUGGUUUUCGUGUCCGAGAAGACAGGAAGAUACAACACCGUGGAAAAGGUCUUUAUUGAUCAGGUAGCUAACGUUAGAUGAGAUCACCAUAAAAUAAAUCACUAUCAAUUUAUCAAAUCACAUAAACAACAAUCAUUAUCAAUUGAUCACCAGUCAGUGUAUGUGAAUCACUGAUUUUAAUACCCCUUCCUCCACGUGUGCUGGGAUUGGCUGCCAAUUUGGAUAGACAACCUAUGAAACAUAGUACUUUAGCCAACAUAUAUUGUAAAAGUUUACUGUUAGUUUUUAAUCCAGGCUUUAUCCCCUUUAGGCUCAACGUCUGGCCCUACAGAGGGAGAUAGACAAGGAGUCCCAGUCCACGGUUUCAGUCAGAUCGCUGGUUUGUAUCUGGUUCUGUGUUGCUCUCCAAAAUGACACUGACUGCAUCCCAAAUGCCACCAUAUCCCCUAUUUAGUGCACCACCUUUGAACCAGGACACAUUGGGUCAGAAGAAGUGCACUAUAUAGAAAAUAGGGUUCAAUUUAGGACACACACGGUCAAUAUCAAUAUUGUGUCCAUUUUAAACCGAAAAUGCAUUCUCUACAAUGUCCUUGGAAGUGACUGCUUCUUUCAAACAGAUCCGUAUUGUGGGAUGUUUAUUUUUCUCAGAUGGUCCAAGCCGACACAGGCAACAGGAACGUUACCAUGAAGAAGACGAACAAGAAGAGUGGGAAGGACACCCAUGCUGAGGAUGAGAUCUCAGAAAACACUUCCAUAAACCAGGGGAAUAGCGAAGGAGUGAAGAAGAAGAAGACGAAAGUAAAGACUCUGGUAGAAGAGCAGAUUUCAUCCAAUGGGAAUGGGGGAAUACGGAAGGAGAGCAGGAGAAACAGAAAGGAAAGAAGAAGAAGUUGUCGUCUGAGACUGACACCAACGGUGAGGAAGUCAUGACUAAUGGAAAUGACGGAGGAGGGUGCGGCCAGGAGAAGAAGAAGCAGAAAGGUGUUAACACUGUUAAAAACGGAGCUACAGACAGAACACAGUGGAUUAAAGGAUGAGAAAGGAGUAGUGGAAAAUGGGCAGAAGCUGAAAAAAAAGAAGCUCUCUCAGGCAGAAGAGACAGAGAUCGGUGUUGUCAAGGUAGAGGAAGGAGAGGUGAUAGAAAUAAAGAAAGGCAAGAAAAAGAAGGGAAAAACAGAGGAAGAAAAGAAAGUGAAAAAGAUCCCUAAAGCUGCUGAACCAACAGAGAGUCAGGAGGAGGAAGAGGGGGAGAUGAAGAAGAAAAAGAAGGGUAAGAAGAGAGCAGUCGCUGAGAAAGGAGAGACUAAAGAGAGAGAGUGUGGAGAGGCAGAGAAAGAAGUGGUAGUAAAGAAGAAGAAGAAGGGAGCUGAGGCUACAGUAGUAGUACAGCAGGAGGAACAGAAUAACACCAAAAAGAAGAAGAAUAAACCCAAGUCCUCCAGCAGCGCUGCAGACACCACCAUGGAGACGGAGAGAAAGGAGGAGGGCAAGAAGAAGAAGAGAAAGGCCUCUGCACUAACAGAGGAGGAGGAUGUGUUGGUGGUGGACAAACGGAAGCCCAAACAUAUGAAAAGGGUGGACAUGACAGGAGUAGUGGAACAGGUGGAGGUCGGAGAGAGCGAGGGAAGGAAAAAGAAGGUGAAGAAGAGCUCUGAGGUAGAGACAGAAAUGGAGGACAGCACCCCUCACCAGAAAGGGAAGAAGGUUAUGACAAAGGGGAAAAAGAAGAUAAAGGUGGAGAGCUGCGACCCUGAAUACCAGGAGAGGGACCAGACGGAUGUGGUUUUCCUGUCAGAGACCAGGGGAAAACGCCUUCGAGAUCAAUAUUGAUCAGGGGAGACGCCUGGCCCUGCAGAAUGAGAUCGACCAGAAGUCCAAUCCAGUCCAACUCAAAGCAGCACCGGUACCAUCGGUCAGUACUCUUAUGAUGUCAGGACACCAAGGUGUACCCCAAAUUUGGGUCACAUACCAACUCUUCUCUGAAAAAAAUCAUUAUGUCGAAUAUAAAUAUUACAAACCGUGUUCUUCUUCUCUUCCAGGGUUUGGGCCAGUGGGGCACUGCCCAGUUUGACAGUUCCGACCAACAUAGUAAGUUCCUGCGGUUGAUGGGCGGCUUAAAGAAGAGCUGGCAGCCAAUAGCAGCGAGCGGUGCGACGGGAGGGCGGGCCAACAUGGCGCUGACUAAAGACGGACAGCAGAGUUUGCAGCAAGGCCUACUGGGGGAGUUUGAGCGUGCUCAGUCGCGCCGCAUGGACUUCACGGAAGGGGGGCGGGACUUGGGUUCUCGGCGCCGUCCAAUAAGAAGUUCUCAAUUGACAUCAACACAACCCGAUCGGUGCGCUUCGAUGACUGAGUCGGGACGGACCCUUGAGUGCGUGUCUAGCAUCCAAAAUGGAUUGGAUGAGUGUGUGUGUACCUUUUCUCUUGCAGGGUCUUGGGAGUGUCUGUCGGUGAAUGUGGUGGUAUGAAUGUAUAUACGGUACCAGUCAGAAGUUUGGACACACUUACUCAUCACAGGGUUUUUCUUUAUUUUGACUAUUUUCUACAUUGUAGAAUAAUAGUGAAUACAUCAAAACUAUGAAAUACACAUAUGGAAUCAUGUAGUAACCAAAAAAUCUAAAUAAUUUUAUAUUUGAGAUUCAAAGUAGACACCCUUUGCCUUGAUGACAACUUUGCACACUCUUGGCAAAUAUUUUAAUUGAUAUUUAGACUUUUUUUGGUUACUACAUGAUUUCAUAUGUGUUAUUUCAUAGUUUUGAGUCUUCGCUAUCAUUCUACAAUGUAGGAACAGUC
ensembl:lncRNA